CCCUUAGAUGUUCUGGGCCGCACGCGCGCUACACUGACGAAUGCAACGAGCUUAUAACCUUGGCCGAAAGGUCUGGGUAAUCUCCAAAUUUCGUCGUGAUGGGGAUAGAUUAUUGCAAUUAUUAAUCUUCAACGAGGAAUGCCUAGUAAGCGCAAGUCAUCAGCUUGCGUUGAUUACGUCCCUGCCCUUUGUGCACACCGCCCGUCGCUCCUACCGAUUGAAUGGUCCGGUGAAGCGUUCGGACCGUGGCCUUUGGACGGUUCGCCGUCUGUUGGCUGCGGGAAGUUCGUUAAACCUUAUCAUUUAGAGGAAGGAGAANUCGUANCA
rnacentral:rRNA from 1 species